AAAAUAUAAUACUAAAUAUCUCGUAUAUCUCUGCGAUAUGGGCAGAAGUUUCUACGGUUUACCUUAAAUGGACUGCUACGAGUGAUUCUUUUUCGCGA
rfam:Fusobacterium sp. 3_1_5R genomic scaffold supercont1.1, whole genome shotgun sequence.